UGUUCAGGAGGACAUACUCUACAACCAUGUUGGGUUUCAUCAAAAUCAGUGGAUUCCACUUCGCAAUCUCUCCUUGUAAACCAAAUGCAAGUAUUGCCCAACUUUCAGAAAUAAUUAGGAUUGAAGGGUUUUGUGGAAGUUGGAAAAAUCAUUUUUUAACAAUAAUUCUGAAACAAAUUACUGAAGCUAGUGGACUAUUAUGUUUCCACCUAUACCAUAUUAUGACACCAUAUUACUCUGACUGAAGCAAGUUAAUGCUGCAUGGUAAAAUAUUGUACAGGAAUACCUCACUUAAUACUGUUAAUUGGUUCCUCUAAAAUACUGCUUUAAAUGAAUCUGCACUGAGUGAAACAUUAUUUCU
rnacentral:lncRNA from 1 species